AAAAAACAACGUAAUUUUUUGCUGUAUACUUAUUAAUUGGUAAACAUAAUCAUUUUACGUAAUAACACUAAAUGUCAUUUAAAAAAAGCGGAGUCCAUGAACUCGUUAUGAAGUUAUAUCAGUUUGAAUUAUCAAAUCAAAUCGGUUGAAAACUGCAUCUUUUCCCGAUAAGUCAACGUUUGACGUCGCGAAAAUAACAUCUUACGUUAGUAACGUCAUUACCUUUCCUGUAACUGUAUCAUAUGCCCUUAAUGAUGUUUUUGUAUGUACCUA
rnacentral:lncRNA from 1 species